UAUAGCGAUCACAUAGGUUAUAAAUGAAUAAUUCAAUCAACCUAUAAUCAACGUACGUAAAUAUUAUGUUUUUCGCGUGAUCUAUAUUAUGACUAAUAUUUUUACGUAUUUUUUGUAGAUUGAAGACGAUAUAAUUAUGAAAAAUUCAAAUUGUACAACAAAAAAAAUAUUCAUAAUUUUAGUAUUGGCGUUUAUUAAUACAAUAACUAUACAAGCCGGAAUGUUUGGUACAAAACAGACUUUAAUAACAUACGCCUAACAUUUACGGCACAACCGAUCAUGUUCAGGAAUUAUAUAGGAUAGUUCCGCAAAUACAAGAAGUUGACAGCUCUUUUGUCGUAUCAUCUGAGGCUCAACAACUGCUUGAAUUUUUUAUAAA